rnacentral:tRNA from 1 species
UUAACUGAAUCCAAUUUGGUGAUUUAUUGUUAAUAAAUUUUUUGAGUUUUAAUCUCCGGUUAAU